CCCUUAGACGUUCUGGGCCGCACGCGCGCUACACUGACCAGUGCAACAAGCAUCCGUCCUUGGCCGACAGGCCCGGGCAAUCUUUGAACGCUGGUCGUGAUGGGGAUAGACUUUUGCAAUUUUUGGUCUUCAACGAGGAAUUCCUAGUAAACGCAAGUCAUCAGCUUGCAUUGAUUACGUCCCUGCCCUUUGUACACACCGCCCGUCACACCUACCGAUUGAAUGGUCCGGUGAAAUCUCGGGACGGCGGCUUGGUCGCUUGCGUCCGACUGCUGAAACUUGAUUAAACCAUAUCAUUUAGAGGAAGGUGAAGUCGUAACA
rnacentral:rRNA from 1 species